GUGGGCUGUGGAGGCUCGGCCAGUGAGGACGGGGCCGACGGAGAACACUGAUACCGAGAGGAGAGUGAAGAGAAGUUUGGACGGACCGCCAUCUGUGCAGAGCAGUACCCCUGUGACGGACCAGAUCAGACCAUGGAGUCGCUCCUGCUCGCCACACCGGUGAAGAUCCCGAGGCCAAAGUUCCACUCGUCGCGAAGAUUCUACCCGAAAGAGCCGCCAAAGGACUACAUGGACGAGCCAGCCGACUCCAAAGACGCCCCUGAGAGGAAAACCACACCAGAGUCGUACACCACCGCUCAGCUCAGUAAGGAUCUCCAGGACAAGCUCUGACGUCAUCAGUGUGAUCCAUGACGUCACAGAAGGGUACGUCUGUGACGUUACUGGGACAUGUGCCGAACAUUAUGCAGUGGACUGAGGCGGUGAUUAUCCGUGCGAGUUUCCGCGGGUGUGUGAACUGUGAGUGUGCCUGUGUGUUGUUGGCCGAGUGGUUAUGAUGGACUUAUAGCGAUAUGCUCCCGGAGACGAGAACCUCUGGUUACUGGCUAUCAAGAAGAAAUGUGUGUGAACGCGGGCCUGCGCUAUAUUAUAGGUGGGUAGUGGUUCGCUUAUAGUUCGCUGUGGUGGGCAUCUCGAAGGAGGUGAAUCGUAAUGAUGUAGAAACUGCGAGACCAUCGUGAAUCAAUCAGUCCGAUGAUUUAUGGUUCAUUUUUCUUUAUGAAAACAUUUGUACCUACUGUAUUUAUGCCUCAAGUCAAACUCUUCCCUUUUAACUGCAUUGCUUUUUGUACAAAACGUUUCGUUUUAUGAAGCGUUAUGCUUGUAGCUGGUACCGCUGCGGCCGAAAAUGUGUGGCAGUGUUUUCAUAUAUGUCGUCGAAACUCGUAUACAUACGUUACAUUGAAACGACAAUUACCACUAAAUAAAUAAGACGGAUGCG